GACGUAGGCGUUGCCCAGGCAACCUUUCCCGCGGAAAGGGUGGAACGUCCAACCUGAGGACCCUCUCUCUGGUCAGGUAGUGACUUGUGUCUGUAAAGAUAAGUGAAAACUUAACCUGGCUUAACAACUACCACAAAUGCUUGGCUUUUCUAGAAAACAUAUCACAUCGACUUGGUCUCUCGUCGUUGUGAACACUGACUAGUGAUAGCUUGCUGAAGUAGAGUCAUGGACUCAUGGAACCAGGUUUCUAAACGUGGCUUCAGUCAGUUUUAGGGUCGCCAGACCCUUUCAUUGCUUCAAAAGGUCCAAGGAGGUAAGAGUAUUUACUCAAGGUCACUGCACGCUUCAAAAAGCCAAGGAUUUUUUGCUCCAGAUAAUAAAGACAUGAGGCUGCCAUGGAUCUUUGCCGCGUGUGGACUGUGUUUAGCUGUGGCUAAGAAACUAUACUAUUUUCUACAUAGGAUGAGAUGGCUGGAUGGCAUCACUGACUCAAUGGACGUGAGUCUGGGUGAACUCCGGGAGUUGGUGAUGGACAGGGAGGCCUGGAGUGCUGCGAUUCAUGGGGUCGCAAAGAGUUGGACACGACUGAACGACUAAACUGAACUGAACUGAAUGGUUUCUUUGUGCAAAUUCAAGCAAAUACAUCUAUGUAUUUACAUUCCCCAUUUCUUACUACUGUAUUUUUAUGAAUGGUACAAUUAUAUUGUAUAUGUUUAUGAAAUGUGUAGACCUGG